GCUCACGUGGCUCAGCGGCUACAGCCUUCCACUUAAAGACUUUGGAAUGAUCCCUUGUUCGAAUCAAGGCGUGAGCA